rnacentral:misc_RNA from 1 species
AGCAGCCGCGGUAAUUCCAGCUCCAAUAGCGUAUAUUAAAGUUGCUGCAGUUAAAAAGCUCGUAGUUGAAUUUCGGGAUCAAUAUGUUGGUCGUGCCUCGGUACGUACUAGCCUAUUGGUUUCUCCCUUCUGACGAACCAUGAUGUCAUUUAUUUGGUGUUAUGGGAAAUCAGGACUGUUACUUUGAAAAAAUUAGAGUGUUUAAAGCAGGCUCACGCUUGAAUACAUUAGCAUGGAAUAAUGAAAUAGGACGUUUGAUUCUAUUUUGUUGGUUUCUAGGAUCGACGUAAUGAUUAAUAGGGAUAGUUGGGGGCAUUAGUAUUCAAUUGUCAGAGGUGAAAUUCUUGGAUUUAUUGAAGACUAACUACUGCGAAAGCAUUUGCCAAGGAUGUUUUCAUUAAUCAAGAACGAAAGUUAGGGGAUCGAAGACGAUCAGAUACCGUCGUAGUCUUAACCAUAAACUAUGCCGACUAGGGAUCGGAUGAUGUUAAUUUUUUUAAUGACUCAUUCGGCGCCUUAC